UACGUAGGGGGCGAGCGUUGUCCGAAUUCACUGGGCGUAAAGCGCGCGUAGGCGGACCUUUAAGUCAGAGGUGAAAUGCCGAGGCUCAACCUCGGAACUGCCUUUGAAACUGGGGGUCUUGAGGUAUGGAGAGGGAAGUGGAAUUCCAGGUGUAGCGGUGAAAUGCGUAGAUAUCUGGAGGAACACCCGUGGCGAAGGCGGCUUCCUGGUCAUAUCCUGACGCUGAGGUGCGAAAGCUAGGGGAGCGAACGGG
rnacentral:rRNA from 1 species